GAGCAGCAGUUACUCCCCAGCCGUUGUCACAUCCAUCUACGACCGGUUCCUGUGCUCGCAGGUGAAACGACAACAACAGCGCCCGUUGUACGGCGCCGCUGCGGGGAGUCGGCGGAGGCAGGAUCCAGUGUGAGGGGGUGGAUUCGAUUUGGGCCCAAGCCACCAUGUCACGGUAGGAACGGGCGGCGACGGCGGCGGCGACGCAAAAUGUGCUCAAUGUCGAUGCGGCCCGAGUGCGCAAGGCAGCUGCGGCGCAAUCGCGGAAGGAUGCGGCGGCGCCGAUGCGGAAGGUCCAUGGAAGUGCUCGGGCGCUGGAGCAGAGCAAUUCGGGAUGGGCUGCGCGUGUGCCAGAGCAGAGGGGUUCGGGAUUUAGCACGGCUACUCCACCAAGGUCCUUCACCGACGGCAAUUGCUUCUUCAAUGGCAACGCCAGCGGCUUCUUCGGUAGCGGCAGACAAAGCCCCGUCAACCAUGGAAUUCUCAAUCUUCAAAUCCUGCAACUUGGGGAAACAAUGCAACACCUCCUGGAGGCUUCACAAAUUUUAUCCAGCCUAACGUGUCUCAACAUUUUAAUUUUGUUGGAGAGCCUUCUCAGUUUGCCCCAUUCAAGGCGCCAUGGAGUAUGCAAGAUUUUCAGUCUGAAGAAGAAUUCUCGACUCCUAUUUCAGCAAGGGACAACCCAUAUGUUAAUGUUGACAGCGGUGAUGAGACACCUAGAACUGAGAAGUGAAUCUUUUGGACUCAAGAAGAUGUCAGGAUGAUGAGCGCUUGGCUGCUCAACUCAACAGACUCAACCAUCGGUGCUGAUAGGAAGAAUGAGCAAUACCGGGCUGAUGUUGAGGCUACGUACAAUGAGACUACACCAAGUCAUAGGAGGAGAAAUGCCAAGCAAAUCAGGGACCGAUUUCAUAAGGUAAAUAAGUGGAUCGACCUUUUCCAUAGUGCUUGGUUGAAGGUUCGAAUGAUUUAUACAAGUGGCUAUAGUGAUCAAAUGUGGAUUGAGAAGGCCCAUGCAUUGUAUAUAAAGGACAAUGAGAGUCUCAAUCUAGGUCCUUUUGUGUUGAUGGAUGUAUGGAAUACGGUCAAGAAUGAAGCAAAGUGGGUAACAUACAAUAGUGGGCUUAAAAAAGCAAGAAAAAGAAAGGGUUCAGGCAAGGAGAAGGAAGGAGAGGAUGUUAGCCAUACAGAUGCAGAUUAACUUGAGGAACAGCCAAGACCAAUGGGGCAAAAAAAAGCUAAAAAAUUGAAAUAUGCCAAAAGUAAGGAGGGGGACCAUAUUGACCUUGAGGAGCUGGAUAAAUUUGGUAAAAUACAGAGUGAAGAGCAUGCAAAUAGGCUGAAAGUCUUGGAAGUGUAGGAAAAGCUAUCAUCUGAAAAGAUCGAACAAGCCAAGCUUGCCCACCUUGCAGCAAAGGAACAAAAGGAGGCAGCUCAGAUGCAAAGGGAGGCAAGAAAAUAUGAACUUGAAACUAAGAUGUUUGAGACAUAUAACCGCCUUCUCUCUGUAGAUGUAGCAUCAAUGUCCGAUGAAGAAAAGUUAGAACAUUCAGAUACAUUGAAGUAUUUGAAGAAAAAAUUAUUUGCUGAAAAAUGAGGUGCAUCUCUAGAGUUGGAGGCUGACCUGUUGGCGGUGGUUCUGAAAUGAUUCAGUCAAUUAUGAAGUGUCAAGUGUCUUUUUUUAUCAAGUCUUUUUUUUGUCUAGUGUGAAUUGUUUCUUGUCGAAUAUGAACUGAGCAUGUCUGUAUGAACUGAGUAUGGUUUUUUCCCAGUCAAGUAUGAAUUGAGCAUGCCUGUC